ACUCAGCAACUUUGUAGCAUAUGCCUAUCAAGUCACUCUGAAAAAGAUAUAAGCAACUCUCACAAUGAGACAAAACAUAAUAAGAAUAUUAAAUCAUUAAACUGUUAGUAGCAAUUUUCUGCAUCUAGUCCUUUCAAAUUAUCUAUUGCUAGAAUAAUAAUCCCUGAAAAUCAUAUCUUACUUCUUUCUUCUGAUCUUGUAAUCCUCUAAAAGCUACAAAACAGGACACUAAAGAUAGCUUCAAGUUUGCUGAAAGGCAGUACAAGGGAAUAGCAAAAGAGUUUGUUAUAUAUUUAUUGUCAAAUAGAAGAAAUAAAAUACUGGCAUCAUGAUUUCAAAAUUAGUCAAAGAAUAAUUGACUUAAUAAGGCUGCAAUAAUUUCUUAACUAUAAAACAACUUAUAGAAAAAAUUUUCAACCCAAAUCUUCAAAAUACUGCCUACUUCAUGCAAAGUGAUCCACUCACUGUCUCCUACAAUCAGCAUAUCCAUUCUCCCAGUGCCAUCCAUUCCUCCAUGCUCACAGCCCCAGAGUUACAGUUCAAGAUUUGGUGUGGCUUCCCAGCACAGGGAGCUGUAAACUUGAUAGAGCUGGACUAACAUCCCACGACCAAAAGCUUAGUGGUCACUUGGGCUCUGGGCUAUUGAAUGCCAUGUUGGAGGAUUUACGCAGGAAAAAGAAGAUGCUCAGAUAAAUUUGAAUUUUAGAUAAACAACAAACAAAAAUUUUCAAAAUAAGUAUGGACUAUGCAAUAUUAGAGACAUAAUUUAAAAAUUUAAAGUUAAACUUAAAUCUAAUUAGACAUCGUAUCUUUUCUCCAGCAACCCUGGUUGAAAAGUCAGUUGGCUACAGAGGGGAAGAAAGAAGAGUAACAUUUAACAGUAAAAGACAGGGCCUCUUUUAUCAAUACUAGAAAUGGAAGCAGGAAGGAGCUGGUUAGCAACAUCAUCCUCAUGGUGAUGGCACUGCACCUGCCAGGUCAGAUGAUCAAAUGUCUGCAGGAGAGUAGCCUGCUAGACUAUGGGAUAGUGGUAGUGGGUGGAAUAUAAGGAGUGGACUCCAGAGGGACUUUGCAUAGGAGCUCAAUAAGGAUGCCUGCAGGCUGGGAAGCAGUCAUUUGACUUAUCUGACCCAUCUUAUGUGAUUGCCCUAACUACUUUUGGAAGUAGGGCAGAGACUCUAAGACAUUCCCCUGUCUCAUGAAAGGGAACCAAGGAGGUGAAGAAUUGGAAGUUCAGAGAAAUUUCGUGGACGUUUGAGUUACAUGUGUCUUUGAGUAUAAUUCCAGCCUUUGAGAUAUCCUGUGGCUUAAAUGAACUAAAAACAGCAGGCACAACUAUGUCUGUCUUGCAUCCACAAGAUCCUUCAGCUUCUUCAAGAAAAGAAUAGAACCUUGUUCAUCAUUGACUCUCCGGUACUGGACACAAACUUGUUUCAAAAGAUAUGACUCUAAGUGUCUAUCGAUUUGAUUUGUUAUAGUUAUGAGACUAAAAAUUGUAUUUCUCCAAAGAAAAUAAAU
rnacentral:lncRNA from 10 species